CGAAGGUGCCACCCGCCCGCCCUGUCUCCGGGGCCGAGUGGAAGCCAGGACGGGGGACAAUAAGAGAAAGAAAACAGCUAAGCCCACCUACUCCAGAUCCUGGCAUACAUUUCUCUGCAGAUGUGCUGUGUGACCCAGGACAAGAUGCUUUGCCCUCUGAGCUGGUGAAAACGAAGAUGAUGCUCCCUUCAUGUUAGGCUGAAAUAGAACACAAACAGAGACGCGGCAAGAUGAUGAACAUCCUUCCAAAUUUUCCAUUAGACUGGGUUGGCUACCUUUAAAAAUAAGAACAAAACAAAAAUAAUCCUCAGAAAAGCCUCAUGAAGUUCAAAAGCUCCAUUGCACAUGUUGCCUCCAAAGGGGCAAGAAUUUUGCCAUUGUCACCCCUGUAUUCCCCUCCUAAAACAGAACCUGGCAUAUAGUAGGUGCUCAAUAAAUAUUG
rnacentral:lncRNA from 10 species